AGAGUUUGAUCCUGGCUCAGGAUGAACGCUAGCGGCAGGCCUAAUACAUGCAAGUCGAACGGAUAUAUGUUUUUCGGAAUAUAUAUUAGUGGCGCACGGGUGAGUAACACGUACAUAACUUGCCCUCAAGCGGGGGAUAGCCUUGGGAAACUGAGAGUAAUACCCCAUAGAAUUAUUGGACGGCAUCGUUUGAUAAUUAAAACUACGGUGCUUGGGGAUAGAUGUGCGUCUGAUUAGCUAGUUGGUGAGGUAACUGCUCACCAAGGCGACGAUCAGUAGGGGGCGUGAGAGCGUGGCCCCCCACACGGGUACUGAGACACGGACCCGACUCCUACGGGAGGCAGCAGUAAGGAAUAUUGGUCAAUGGAGGGAACUCUGAACCAGCCAUGCCGCGUGAAGGAUGACGGCCCUCUGGGUUGUAAACUUCUUUUGGAUGGGGCGAAAAAACGGGAUUUAUCCUGGACUGACGGUACCAUCAGAAUAAGCACCGGCUAACUCCGUGCCAGCAGCCGCGGUAAUACGGAGGGUGCAAGCGUUAUCCGGAAUCACUGGGUUUAAAGGGUGCGUAGGCGGUUGUAUAAGUCAGGGGUGAAAGGAUGCAGCUUAACUGUAUAAUUGCCUUUGAUACUGUAUGACUUGAAUAAGGUUGAGGUUGGCGGAAUGUGACAUGUAGCGGUGAAAUGCUUAGAUAUGUCAUGGAACACCGAUUGCGAAGGCAGCUGACUGGGCCUUUAUUGACGCUGAGGCACGAAAGCGUGGGUAGCGAACAGGAUUAGAUACCCUGGUAGU
rnacentral:rRNA from 1 species